CACUCGUGUGUCUUGGGCUUCUCCGGUACUUGUUGUAGAAGAUCUCCUGCCAUUAAUUUAGGCUUCUUGUGACUGGCCCGAUGACCGCCUAACGCUUGGAACGAUGGGAACUGCCGGUUACAUGUCUUGCAUUCGUAAACACGGCCGGCUGAAAUUAGAUCAGACUGGGAUUUGCCGAAUUGUGAAAGAAGCAUGAGACAGUUGGCCAUUGUUUGUUCAUCUUCUCUACUCCUCUUCAUUGUCAUCUUAAUGUAAAAUAUGAUUCAAGGUUUAAUGUGUUUAAUGGGUUUGGUGUACAAUUCUCUGUGUUGAAUGGAUUGCGCAAAGUUGUAAGCUGUAUUUGAGUUUGUAAGCUGUAUUUGAGUGAGUCCUAUUGUUGCGGUAGUUGGUGUAUAUUUAUAAGGUUCUGUGCAGGUUCUUACGUAUGUGAUUAGCGUAUACUAGUACUACUAUAUUCUUCUGUUGGUUAGUUUUUGAGUGAGUCGGCGCUUUCGUCUUAUGUUGAUUAAUGAGUAGCUAGGAUUCAUAAUUAAAAAAGAGACGAGGCGGUUUAUUAGUUAACUACUUUGCAUAUUAUAGCAGUCAGCAAAGGCAACAUUAAUAUACCGGUCAACUCAAUUCACAAGGAAGAAUCCUUCAGAUACUUUGACUUUUCUAGAACGCUUUCGUUUGGAUUAGACAAGUAAGCAUUUGACCUGCUCACUAAACAAUCACUGAUGCAAGUUCGAGCGAUUAGUAUGUUAUAUUUAUGCGCAGUCUAGUUUUAAGAAAUCAAAGUCCAGCAUGAUCCAGCGAAAAUACGGAUGUGCACACGAAGAAAAGAAGAAAAUGCGAAGUCAAAUAAAGUAGAUACAUAAUUUGGAGCAUUCGUGAUCAAAUAAAGUGGCGGAUUAAGAAAGUUUCGAGAUCAAGAUUUAUGAAUAAGAAAUAAACAUAAGAGGGAUAUACGAAAGCAAGUAGGAAGCAUGACGAUUAACAAAGCAGUUUCACAAUAUAUUAAGUAAAAUUAACUUGGUAGUUAAAACAAAAUGCAAUAUAUUAAGUAAAAUUAACUUGGUAGUUAAAACAAAAUGUAAGCGGCAUGCAGGGACCGAGUGGAUUAUGUAUUAGGUACACCAAGACAGAUGCCGACUUUCUUCUGUUCCUUUGGUGCUCAACUGCGUACUCAUUGUACUACUUCGUAACUUUAAACUACCAAAGUAUUGAUUGUAGUUGGUACUUAGUUGAACAAGUGCUCCUUUUUCCUAAAGUAGGUCAGAUAAUUUAUAUCUUUUAGUAAUGGUCGACAUUUCAUACACGCGGACAUGUAUAUGCUGAUCGAAUUUGAAUUCCGGACUUCUUGUUAUAUUUCUGGUUGAUUAUGCAAAGCAAGUCGGAAAGUAAACUUCUUCUUAGCAUAUGUACACGAUCUUUAUAUGUGUUGUACCACUUGAUUAUGCAAAGUAAGUCGGAAAGGAAACUUCUUCUUAACAUAUACACGAUCUUUAUAUGUGUUGUACCACUGUAUCACCUUCAACUUGUUGGUCAUCACCAAAUCAUAUAUGCAUCAACAAAUUAAGUAAUGUGGAAUGUGUGUUAAGUCUUAAUUGUUGAUACUUAAUUGCCUGCGGAUCAAAAUAUGGAAAACAUUUUGAAAUAUGAGAAACAUUUUCUGUCCCUCAUAAUCUAGUCCUUGAUUAUUUAAAUCUCUUAUCAUAUAUAUUUUUUAACAUGUAAUGAAUUUUUAGAAUAAGGUCAAACCAUCUAGCUAGCUACUCAUUGUAAAUAAAUAUAUUAUUUUGUAGAGAUAGGAGAAAAGUUUUGAAAAAGAAUAUGUGAGUGCAAAUUGUUAUGAUGAAAUUGAGAAGAAAAUGAAGGAAUGGAGCAUCCUUCUUAAAUUGAAGGAAGGUGUGAUCUCGAUCUAGCAUUGGGUGUAAGGAAUUGAAUGUAGGAAUGAAUGAAAUUUAUAAGAAUUUGCCCAUGACAUGAUGUAAAUUUCAUUGCAUUCCUUUCAUAUUCAUUAGACAAAAAAGAUAUUAAUUUUAAGAGAAUGAUUAAAAGUUUCUUAAAGCAAUUCUAUACUGUAUUUCUUGAAAUUAUUGUUUUGAACAUCAUAUAUAAACUAAUCUUCUGUCCGUUACACUCUCCUGUUAUAUACAUGUAUGCACACCAUGAAUGCAGUAUAGCAAACCAGAAACCAGGCAAGAAUCAUAAAACAAAUGAAAGAAUAUCAUUUCCUAUCCAAAAAUGAACAUUAAAAAAUACAAAACAAGAUGAUGAUCUAAGUCAUACUAUCUACCAUCCCAACUUCAAAUAAUUAUCAUAUGGCAUCAAAUUCAGAUCCAAACCCCAAACUCUUUUGCAACUAUUGCUCUUCUUCAAAAUGGGCGCCACCUUCCCAACCUUAUGAUCAUCAUCACUACUAGUGACUGUACUAGAAUUAGCCUCCAUGGCUACACGGUGCCGCCUCAUGUGUCCCCCAAGGGCUUGACCUAAAGCAAACUCAGCUCCACAUAUUGAGCACUCAUGUGUCUUUGGCUUCUCCGGUACUUGUUGUAGAAGAUCUCCCGCCAUUAAUUUAGGCUUCUUGUGACUGGCCCGAUGACCGCCUAACGCUUGGAACGAUGGGAACUGUCGGUUACAUGUCUUGCAUUCGUAAACACGGCCGGCUGAAAUUAGGUCAGACUGGGAUUUGCCGAACUGUGAAAGAAGCAUGAGACAGUUAGCCAUUGUUUGUUCAUCUUCUCUACUCCUCUUCAUUGUCAUCUUAAUGUAGAAUAUGAUUCUAGGUUUAAUGUGUUUAAUGGGUUUGGUGCACAAUUCUCUGUGUUGAAUGAACUGCGAAACGUUUUGUAAGGUGUAAUAUUUGAGUGAGUCCAGUUAUGUUGUGUUGGCGUUUAUUUAUAAGGCUUUGUGCAAGUACGUAUGUGACUUGUACGUAUAUUCUUAUUGAGUGAGUGGACGGCGUUUUGUUUUCGUCUUAUAUUAAUGAGUAGCCACCGUGAUUAAAAAAGGGGAGACAGGGCGGUCAGCAAAGGCAACAUAUGUAUACUGGUCAACUCAAGAUAGAAGGAAAAGUCCCUCAGAUGCUUUGACUUUUCUAGAACGUUUUAACCAGCUGCUACUAAACAAGUAUUGCUAGAUAGAAGGACCACAAUCACAAACGAAAGUUAGUGAUUUGUGGAGCACGUGCUUUGUGAACACUCAAAUUAUUAUGAAUAUCCAAUCAUGUAGAGUAUUCUCUUUCCACUAUACAUUCGCAAUAUAUUAUUUAGACAUGUUCGAACGAACUUGCAUAUAUCGCGUAAUAAUUGUGAUAGAACAGAGUCGUUAAUUACAAAUUAGACAGCUCUAAAAACCCAAUCAAAUGGACGAUAAAUAAUACACGAAUAAUGACUUGUGCAUAACAAGAUCGUGGUUGCAACAUAAUAAAAUUGGGUGUGCAGUCGGUGGUGUAUUUACAGCUAGCUGAUUGAAUGUUCUGUAUGCAUUUUGCAUGCAGUCAAAUUAUAACAAAUCAAAGACUAACAUAACCGAGAGAAUAGUACAUCUGUACACACCAAAUAUGAAGAAUUUAAGAAAGCGAAGUCAAAUAAAGUUAUUAUAUGGAUUAUUCAAAACCUGAAGUGAAAUAUAUACUAGUUGGAUAUUCAAGCUAGUGUGGCAUUAAAGAAGUUUCAAAAUCAAAAUUCGUGAUGGGAACAUCAAUGAGUACUUGAGCAGUAGGACGAAGCAUGUAGUUGAGCAGUCGCACAGACUAUUAUAAACUUGAGAGUAGAAACAAAAUGUAGUUAAGCCGCGUGAGGCUCCGCCUCAAUUAUCAUGUAUAAUUAGGUGAAGGGAGAUUUAUUCUCAUUAAAACAUUUUAAUUUAAAAUAAAUAUUAAAAAUUAUAUAUUUGAAAAUAAGUAAAUAACCGUAUAUCUCACAAAGAUAUAAACUACUCCCUCCGUCCCCUUUUACAUGUCCAUUUUGCUUUUCGAGAAGUCAAAUUGACCAACUUUUGACUAAACAUUACGAGUUAUCUAUCCAGUAUUUCUAAAAUCUAAAAGUUGCAUAUUAAUAUAGACUCAAUAUACUUUCUAAUGAUAUAAUUUUUAUUAUUUUUCUCAAUUAUCUAAUAUAUGUAAAGUUCAGUCAAAAUAUAGUCAAUUUGACUGGUCAAAAGUCAAAAUGGACAUGUAAAAGGGGACGGAGGGAGUAAUAUAUAAAGUAUUUCAUCAAGUAAUACAUUAACCGCGAACUCCCCCUCCCCUUUAGAAUCUGCAUGCUCUUUUCUUUUCAUACAAUUAGCUGCCAUCUUUCACAGUCUUCUUUCCCUUCCAAACUGUGUGCUAGAUCCACAUCUGUUGAUUGUGGACUGAGUUCACAUCAAACCAAAAAAUCCUAGAAUCAGAGUGCAGAGUACUCUAAUUCAAUUGUUGGCUCCUUUUUUCCCUGGUUAAAGAAAUUAGUCCUUUCUUUUAUCAGUUUAAACAAAUUAAUAAAUGUAAGUGCUUAUGCUUAAAUUCUAGGUAAAAUUUUAAUAACAUUUAUAUUCUUUUUUACUAGUUGUGCAUUUUAAUAUUAAUUAUUAUUAACUCAAAUACCUUUAAGAAUUAUCAUACAAAUAACUAUGGAAUUUAAUAAAGUGAGUGAAAAUUUAAUAAUAUCUUUGUGUAAUCAAUGUAAUUAAAAUAUUGAAAAAUGAGAAAAAAAAAUACUAUAUUUAAUAUUUUUAAUAUAUGUAAAAUUUGUAAACAAGAUUACUAAAUUGGAUGGAAACAAUGUUAUAAGAAAAGAUUUUUCUACCAUAAUAUUAUAAUUGAUUCUCCCAUUAUAAUUUAUUUUUCACUCAAAAUAAUUAUAUAUAUUACCAAAAUUCAAGAUAAGCUGUAAUAACAUAUUUAGUAGUAGGUUUUUAAAUUAUUAUGCAAUAUUCUAGUAAUACGUACAGUUCUCACAAUUUGACCUUUAUGAGUUCUUUACAGUAUUUGACAUUUUGACUGAGAGAAACCUUUUGGCUAGUUACUCUUUAAUGAUCUAAAAGUUGUUAUAUACUUGAAUCAUAUAAUGUGGGAAUUUUUCUUACUGUAAAUUUAAAACAACUUUCUAGCCAUCUAACACAUAUCGAUCCAAUUAUAAAUAUGAAUAAUUCCAUUCAAAUUAUUUUUAAGUCUAAAUAUUGUGAAAGAAAAUGAAAUAAGGCCUAAGAUAAGAAAAAGUUAAACCUUAAUCAUGGAUGAUUUGGACCGAUUUUAUUAAGUUUUAUAGCCUAUAUCCAUUAAUUUAUGAAAGUUCAUGUGAAAAUUUAUUUUAAAACAAACUUCAAAUCAAAAUAUUUUUAUAAACAAACUGGUAUAGAUAACAUAUCUCGACCGAGUUUCUCAAUGCAACGCCGGCUAGUUUACUUUUGAUAAAUAGACUUAAUUAAGAACAAGAAAUUUGCUCAAAUCUAGACAAAAUAAUUUUUCAAAUUAGAGUGACUAGUUAAAUGAAAUAUACAAUGUAUAAUGACUUGCUAGCAAACUAGCAAAGUAAGUUCAGCUAACCAAUCCUAGAAACAAGCUGAGAAACAUAAAACUAAUGAAAGAAUCAUUUUCUUCUCAAAGAAGAUGAAAAUACAAAACGUACACGAUCUCAAAGGAAGAUGACUAUUUUACCAUCCCAACUUCAAAUAAUUAUCAUAUGGCAUCAAAUUCAGAUCCAAACCCCAAACUCUUUUGCAACUGUUGCUCUUCUUCAAAAUGGGCACCGCCUUCACAGCCUUAUGAUCAUCAUCGCUAAUAGUAGUGCUUGUAGAAUUAGCCUCCGUUAUAGUAGUGCUUGUAGAAUUAGCCUCUAUUUCUGCACGGUGCCGCCUCAUGUGCCCCCCAAGAGCUUGACCUAAAGCAAACUCAACCCCGCAUAUUGAGCACUCGUGUGUCUUCGGCUUCACCGCUACUUGUUGUAGAAGAUCUCCAACCAUCAGCUUAGGCCUCUUGUGACUGGCCCGAUGACCACCUAACGCUUGGAACGAUGGGAACUGUCGAUUACAUGUCUUGCAUUCGUAAACACGGCCGCUUGAAAUUAGAUGAGUCUGGGAUUUGCCGAUUUGUGAAAGAAGCAUGAGACAGUUGGCCAUUGUUAAUUCAUCUUCUCUACCUCUCUUCAUUGACAUCUUAAUGUAAAAUCAAAUAAGUUGUUUUGUGUU
rnacentral:lncRNA from 1 species